rnacentral:rRNA from 1 species
GAUGAACGCUGGCGGCGUGCCUAAUACAUGCAAGUCGAGCGAACGGACGAGAAGCUUGCUUCUCUGAUGUUAGCGGCGGACGGGUGAGUAACACGUGGAUAACCUACCUAUCAGACUGGGAUAACUUCGGGAAACCGUAGCUAAUACCGGAUAAUAUUUUGAACCGCAUGGUUCAAAAGUAAAAGACGGUCUUGCUGUCACGUAUAGAUGGAUCCGCGCUGCAUUAGCUAGUUGGUAAGGUAACGGCUUACCAAGGCAACGAUGCAUAGCCGACCUGAGAGGGUGAUCGGCCACACUGGAACUGAGACACGGUCCAGACUCCUACGGGAGGCAGCAGUAGGGAAUCUUCCGCAAUGGGCGAAAGCCUGACGGAGCAACGCCGCGUGAGUGAUGAAGGUCUUCGGAUCGUAAAACUCUGUUAUUAGGGAAGAACAUAUGUGUAAGUAACUGUGCACAUCUUGACGGUACCUAAUCAGAAAGCCACGGCUAACUACGUG